GUCCGAUGAGUGACGGUUUGAUGCCUGGGAUUACAAACGAGACGUCCGGGUUGUUCUGUUGCCACAAAAACAACAACUACUUUUAGCAGUCGUAGUCCUGCAUUCAGGAGGCUUUGGUGCUGCGUUAUAAAUUUAAAAGACUAUAAUUCUAUGCUAUUUAUGCAGAAUGGUAUGGUUCUGGCGUUUAUAGUGGCAUUUUAUUUGUACUUUUGUGGUUGUUGGUUUGGUUUUUUUGGUUUACAGAUCAGAUUUAGAUUUUUUUAUUUAUUUUUUUUAAAAUACUGAUUCUUAAAGUGCACCUAUUAUGGUUUUUCAAAUAUUACCUUUCAUGUAGUGUGUUUAUAUAUGUAGCUGUUUGUGAAUGUAAAAAAGUUUGCAAAGUUUCAAAAAUCAAAGAGCACGACGAACUGAGUUAUCGACUCCCAAAAGAAGGAACCGAUUCUGAACAGCUGAAACGAGUCGUUACUGAUUCCAGAUUUUACUUCGUGUACUAACCUACAUAGGUUUGUAACAAAAAACCCCACCUCUGGCCUUCAUUCACUGCUCACUGACAGCCGUAGACCAAUCACAACAGACUGGGACAUCUGACCAAUCAGAGCAGAGUAUGCUUUCUGAAAGAAGUAGUUUAGAACGAAUCUUUUAGAACGGAUCAUUUAAUGAGUUGUUUGUGACACUGCGGGAAAAAAUGUAAUGCUGCAAUUUAAAUUAUGAGCACGUUAAAGUGUUUUUUGACCUCGGAUGCACGUAAAUCUAUUGUAUGAGAGUUUUAAAACAAAAUUAGGCACGUUUCGAAACCAUGAUAGGUGCGCUUUAAAAAUCAGAAAAGGGUACACUUUAUUUGCUACACAUUUGGGGUUUUUUAUGUCUUUUUUUUUUAUAUAGAUUUAGUGAAAUCCUCUGUAAGAUCUAUAAAUGCAGUCUGAAACACAACGACAUGCUGUAUCAGUCAUAAUUAACACGUGGAUGUGGGUUUCUCCAGACGGAAUUUGUACAAUUCUACCUGCUCUGUGGCCGAAUACAACUGUGAUGUACAGAUAUUCAGAAAGUAACUUAAUGUUACAAAGAUACAGCUUUUUAUAUUUUUAUUCUUCUAUAAGAUUAUUCGCUGACCAUGGUUCAGCCUUACUGUUGUUUGUGUUUUUAAUUUAAAUUCUAAUAUAUGGAUGGUGUUUUGUUUUAAGAGAUCGCGCGAGUUCAGGGGCCGUCGUGUAUGUCCUGAGAUGUUAAAGCCUUUGAAUGUGAAAAAAAAAGAGUUGUAAGCUGUUUAUCUUUUGCUACCUUCUCAUUUCAUUGUAUAUUUUCUGUUUUGUUAUUAAAUUAAUUAUGUCCAAUUUGGGUUUUUUUUUUUUUUUUUUUUUUUAAAUGUUUAAUCUCCUGGGUUUUGCGUGUUAUUUAAAGAUUGAUGUAGGAAUGUGUCACGUGACCACAUGGCGACUCCUGUAAUAAAG
ensembl:lncRNA